rnacentral:rRNA from 1 species
CCUACGGGGGGCAGCAGUGAGGAAUAUUGGUCAAUGGACGCGAGUCUGAACCAGCCAAGUAGCGUGAAGGAUGACUGCCCUACGGGUUGUAAACUUCUUUUAUAUGGGAAUAAAGUGUUCCACGUGUGGGAUUUUGUAUGUAUCUUAUGAAUAAGGAUCGGCUAACUCCGUGCCAGCAGCCGCGGUAAUACGGAGGAUCCGAGCGUUAUCCGGAUUUAUUGGGUUUAAAGGGAGCGUAGGUGGGUUGUUAAGUCAGUUGUGAAAGUUUGCGGCUCAACCGUAAAAUUGCAAUUGAUACUGGCAGUCUUGAGUACAGUUGAGGUGGGCGGAAUUCGUGGUGUAGCGGUGAAAUGCUUAGAUAUCACGAAGAACUCCGAUUGCGAAGGCAGUUCACUAAACUGCCACUGACACUGAGGCUCGAAAGUGUGGGUAUCAAACAGGAUUAGAUACCCUUGUAGUC